AUGUUGACUGAAGAAGAGUUUGAAGCAGCUUGGGGGCAGCUGCUGGAUAAGUAUAACCUCAGGAGUCCCGCAUACAUGAUUCAGAUUUAUGAAACUAGGAGAAAAUGGGUGAAGCCUUACUUCAGAGGUGUGUUUUGUGCAAAAAUGACAAGCACAUAGUGGAGUGAGAGCACAAACCACAUGUUGAAAACUUAUAUGCCACCAAGCCCAAUGCAUGUUUUUGUGAGGCAGCACAUGCCGUUGCAGUUCGACCGCGAACGCGAUGAGAGCUAUGAAGAGAAGAGUACCAUGAUUGUAAGUGUUUUUUUAUCCAAAAUGCUGCAUUCACUUUCUGAAAACAAAAAGUUGAUGUGUCUGUGCUACUGGAUAUGA
rnacentral:rRNA from 1 species